rnacentral:rRNA from 1 species
CCUACGGGUGGCAGCAGUGGGGAAUAUUGGACAAUGGGGGCAACCCUGAUCCAGCCAUGCCGCGUGUGUGAAGAAGGCCCUCGGGUUGUAAAGCACUUUCAGUGAGGAAGAACGCCUGGUGGUUAAUACCCAUCAGGAAAGACAUCACUCACAGAAGAAGCACCGGCUAACUCCGUGCCAGCAGCCGCGGUAAUACGGAGGGUGCGAGCGUUAAUCGGAAUUACUGGGCGUAAAGCGCGCGUAGGUGGCUUGAUAAGCCGGUUGUGAAAGCCCCGGGCUCAACCUGGGAACGGCAUCCGGAACUGUCAAGCUAGAGGGCAGGAGAGGAAGGUAGAAUUCCCGGUGUAGCGGUGAAAUGCGUAGAGAUCGGGAGGAAUACCAGUGGCGAAGGCGGCCUUCUGGACUGACACUGACACUGAGGUGCGAAAGCGUGGGUAGCAAACAGGAUUAGAUACCCUUGUAGUC